rnacentral:rRNA from 1 species
AAUCUUGCGCAAUGGAGGGAACUCUGACGCAGCGACGCCGCGUGAACGACGAAGGUCUUCGGAUCGGUAAGUUCUGUUCUCAGGGAAGAAGGACACAUAACGUGACUUUACGGCACCUGAGGAGGAAGCUCCGGAUAACUCCGGGCCAGCAGCAGCGGUAAUACGUGGGGGGCAAGCGUUGCUCGGAAGUAUUUUGCGUAAAGGGUGCGUAGGCGACCUAUUAAGUCAUGUGUGAGAGACCACGGCUUAACUGUGGGGCUGCAUUUGAAAUUAGAAGGCUUGAGUGUCGGAGAGGGUAGUGGAAUACAAGGUGUAGCGGUGAAAUGCGUAGAUAUCGGGAGGAACACCAGUGGCGAAGGCGACUACCUGGUCGAGAACUGACGCUGAUGCACGAAAGCUAGGGGAGCAAACA